ACUGAUGACAAGACAAGGGGAUAAAAAUAAGACAAGUUUAGAAUGAACAAUUAAACUCUUCUCAAAUCUACAAUCUCCAAGGAAAUCGAUAGAGGAAACAAACACGGCACUAUCUCUUCGAAAGACUAGCCUCAAAAAAACGAACUUUAGAAUUCAUUUUAGUUUUCUGUGACACUUAAAAAAUUUAUUUUUUUUUCUAUCUCAUACAACAGUUUGGUUAUCAGUAUCUAAAGAUGGAAAUGAACAAAAAUAUAGAGUAACGAAUUUUGAAGUGCAAGAAACAUAUUUCGGAUGUACUCCGCAUCAGCAAAUUUUGAUGGAUAAUUGAUGUGUUUUUCUCGGUUUUUAAAUAUAUUGUAUGAAGAUAAAAAAAAGGCUUACCUCCAAACAUGAGGAGUAAAACCUGGACAAUUAUCUCGACAAUUCAAACAUGGACGACCUUCGUCUACUUCAUUCACUGAUACUCCCUGAGAAAGAUUUUCAUAGAAUAUUCAAAUUGAUUUCAAUAAAAAAUUCCUGUUACUAAAGAGUAACGUACACAGUUUAAAUUAGUAUCAUAAGAAAAAAAAGAAUGCGAAGAAAAGAUUUUAAUACAGUUUUCAGCAUAAUUCAUGCAGUUGUCAAGCGACAUCGAGUACUUUUUCCAACCUCUAACAUCUCAUGAAAGAAGAGAAAACAGAUAAAAUAUUGUACUCACUAAACGACUUAACAAAACUUGAACGGGUUUUAAACAGCACAUAUUCAUCUACUAAUUAUCACAGUUAUCAUCUUGAAUAGUUUCUCAGGAAUCUAUAUUCCACAUAAGAUGUUAUGUACAAAACGGAGCCACUUCUCUCCAACGUCAGCAAAUUUAUCCAAUGACCUAAAGCCCGAUGUGGUGAGGAAUGGGAUCCCAUAUAUCCGGGACAGACCGCAAAUAAAAAUUUCCUGGAGUUGCUUGUCCGGAUUCGGUCCCUCAAUUGAUUCUAGUCCAAGUAACUUAGAGCUCAACAGUGGCUGCGUGGAUAAAAUACUAAACAGUAGUAGCUGGUUGUGGGUUUGCACCCCACCAAUGGCAUGGAAUUUUCUGGGUUUUAUUCGCGUGUCUAACACCUAAAUAGA